CGCGAUACUCACAUAGAAUUCCAAGUGCACUGUGCCUAGAAAAUUAGCUGAAGGCCGUGUUGCUGAGAACAAUGGUAAACAUUUUUCAAACAGGAAUGAGGCAGACAAUGCUACAGACAAGAUUCCUCCAUCUCCCAAAGAAAUGGGAAGGUUACUAACAUAUUUCAUGUGUCUGCAUUCCCUGCGCAAAGGUGGUCCUAUCAAACAGAUCUUGAGGACAUAUAUUACUCUCUUCACCAGUGCAUUCUGCAAAGCACAAGGGCUGAUGUGAUUCAAAAGUAGCAGAAUUUAGACUGCACACAAAAGCCUGCAGCCAGUGAUGGAGAAGGACGUGAGAAGAUCCUUGCCUGCAGGGUGAACCGCACACUUCAUGAGUCUACUGUGUUGUUGGUAACCAUUUGUCAGAUGAAUAAGACACAAUAUACCAGGGUCUCUCUCCCCCUUAUUUAUGACAUUUACUGGGAGUGUAGAUGAAGGGCCUGAAGCUUUGUUGAAGAUCCAAACCAUCUAUUCCACAAUCUCUUUGGCCCUCUACCAUCAGGACUAGGAUGGCCAGACAGGGUAUCAGCUUCUUCCCUUAGGCUGUGAGACUAAUGUAUACCCUACCACCACCACCACCAAGGUUUUGUCACUAGGACAGCAAGCUGUUUACCUGCACACAACAUGCAUUUUGAAUUAUAUUUUAUUAACUUAUGGUAAUAUUUUGUUGUAUGCGCUGUGUUUGAUGUAUCCUUUGUGGGUGCAUUGUGGUCCAGAGUACUGUUAUAUUUUAUAUAUAUGACAAGCUUAAACUUGAAUAUACUUAACAAUCCUUAACCCAAUGCUUCCAAGUCCACCCAUACACAAAAUUUCAACCAAUUCCAGCAAGAGCAGUUAAUGCAUUGUAAUUGAGACAUUUUUUGUGAGGACAAUAUUUGCUUGUGCUUUGUAUAAUCAGUGGGGAGGGGGGGGGGGAAGGGGUCUGACAACUGAGACAACUAUCACCACACAUCCUGCCAGGCUUUCCAGUUCCUCUCCUGUACACUCUCACAAAUUAAUUGUGUCCUCCUCUGUCUCUUUCACAAAGCCAUAUGGAUCUGGCUGGCAUGGGGAAUGCAUCUUCAUCGGCCAUUGCCCUUCUUUGUAUAGUGUUUAAAUCCAAACAUGGCUCCUUAGCACACUAAAUCAACCUGCUACAAAUAGUUCACUGGUCUAUUCAGAUUUUUUUUGUUUGUGGGAACCCAAAUUGGUAUUAAUACUGCACUGAAGAAAUUAUCCGUAUUCUAAGCUAAUUUAUAAAUGUCUGUAUUUUGAAGGCAGGAAGAGGAAACUGUGGGUGACAAGGGAAGUCAAAGACAGCAACAAAGCAAAAGAGAGGGUAUAUAAUAUAGCAAAACAUUGUGGGAAGCUAGAGAAUUGGGUUUUCAAAAUCUUGAAGGAGCAGUGAUGGGUACUUUAUAAAUCUAGCAAAAGGUAAAAGGUUCUGUGGGUAGGUGGAAACAGUCAAGGUUGCAGUCACAUCAGAAUCAGCUCUCAAGAGCAGCAGCCACUAGGAGCAGAAGACCACCAGGCCCUUUGAAGCUACCCCAACAUUUAAUAUGAUCGUGGCUGAAUGCUACCACUCUGACUAAUGCAUUUACUAUUGGACUUCAAGAGGAAGAACGGUUGAAACCACAGUUUCAAAUUCAAGAAAGAUAGUCAAGAGUUAAAAGUGUUGCUUCUUAGGGAGAUAACACUACUGCAUUUAACUCUAGAUUACACCGCAACAGAAAUUUAAUUUGCAGUCAGUCCAGAAAGUGACUAGUACAUGUGAAAUGAAGGGUCCAGUGGAGGGGUCUGCAGCAGUCCAUCAGACAAUUCCUUCAGAAUCCACCUGUAAGCACGAGGACAUGAACACCAGUCACUAUGCUUACUGAUGGCAACAUAUUGGCAAGAUGAGAGGUACUUUUACAACUUUAUAUCAGCUUUCAGCUGGGGGGGGGGUGGAGGGGGAAGAUCAGUAACAACAAUGACACCUCUUUAUCAGCAGAAGAGAUAUUUCACAAGUCAAACUCGGGACGAACCAAGAUUAUAAAAUUGAGUUUAUUCUUACAGAUGAAAUUAAAAUUUGCAAGUAGUCUUACUUCCAAGUAUACAGUCUGAGUAUGGUGCUCCGUAUGGUAACCAGUUUAACAGCAUAAAAGGCACCAUUAAAUAAAUUAUUACCAGAGGCACUGUUUGUUUAAUGCCAUUUCAAUAGUGAAAACACCCAGGUAAAGGAGCAGUUACAAACUAAACUGCCAGAAAUUGACACUGCCCCCCUUCCUCAGUGAAAAUGUCAGUCAUCUGACAGUUCAAUAACCCACAGGCAUUUGGAGAUGAGUUAUUUAAUUGUAUAUAAUCACAUUGGUACUUUUGCUCUGAUAGAGCCAAUGAGGAAUAGAUGUUGUUCAAGUGGACCUCAGCCUUGAAUGACCUAUUUUAAUGCAUCACUACAGUAACAUCAACACGUUAAAUUGGUGAGUCUUAGUUGAACCAAUUACAGGAAACAUGGCUCAUGAUCAGCAUUGAAGAGGAACAAAGAUGGCCUGCUAAAGUACUUGGGGGAGGGGGUGGAAUACACAAUGGAUUAGUUCCUAAGCAGACAUUCCUACAAGGUAACAUUGAUUGUCUCUGCCAUGUUUGUGUGGGCAGUUCAAUGCUGAGAUUAGCAAUCUCUCAGGUGAGGAAGUGUGACAGGUUGUGAAACCAACAGUAAUGGUUCUCAGGGCAAAACAAGGUGGG